UUGAAUAGCUCUGUCGGCAGAGCAAGAGACUCAUAAUCUCUGGGUUGUGGGUUUCAGCCCCACGUUGGGGAAAA